rnacentral:rRNA from 1 species
GGUUAAGCACUUAAGGUGCGGAGCCGUAGCGAAAGCGAGUUUUAACUGAGCGUUCAGUUACUUGACGUAGACCCGAAACCGGGCGACCUACCCAUGAGCAGGAUGAAGCGAAAGUAAAAUUUCGUGGCGGUCCGAACCCACGAGCGUUGAAAAGCUCGGGGAUGACUUGUGGGUAGCGGUGAAAUUCCAAUCGAGCCCGGAGAUAGCUGGUUCUCCCCGAAAUAGCUUUAGGGCUAGCCUCAAGGUGAGAGAUACGGAGGUAGAGCACUGAAUGUCCUAGGGG